rnacentral:rRNA from 1 species
UGAACGCUGGCGGCGUGCCUACUACAUGCAAGUCGCGCGAACAGACGAGGAGCUUGCUCCUCUGACGUUAGCGGCGGACGGGUGAGUAACACGUGGAUAACCUACCUAUAAGACUGGGAUAACUUCGGGAAACCGGAGCUAAUACCGGAUAAUAUAUUGAACCGCAUGGUUCAAUAGUGAAAGACGGUUUUGCUGUCACUUAUAGAUGGAUCCGCGCCGCAUUAGCUAGUUGGUAAGGUAACGGCUUACCAAGGCAACGAUGCGUAGCCGACCUGAGAGGGUGAUCGGCCACACUGGAACUGAGACACGGUCCAGACUCCUACGGGAGGCAGCAGUAGGGAAUCUUCCGCAAUGGGCGAAAGCCUGACGGAGCAACGCCGCGUGAGUGAUGAAGGUCUUCGGAUCGUAAAACUCUGUUAUUAGGGAAGAACAAAUGUGUAAGUAACUAUGCACGUCUUGACGGUACCUAAUCAGAAAGCCACGGCUAACUACGUG